GACUGGCUGGUCUAGCGGAAUGACGCUCCUUUUCGUCGCUUCUGCGAUGUAACUUUGUUAACCGGAGAAGUGUGGGUUCGAAUCCUGCGCCGGUCU